GAUGAACGCUGGCGGCGUGCCUAAUACAUGCAAGUCGGGCGAACGGACGAGAAGCUUGCUUUUCUGAUGUUAGCGGCGGACGGGUGAGUAACACGCGGAUAACCUACCUAUAAGACUGGGAUAACUUCGGGAAACCGGAGCUAAUACCGGAUAAUAUUUUGAACCGCAUGGUUCAAUAGUGAAAGACGGUCUUGCUGUCACUUAUAGAUGGAUCCGCGCUGCAUUAGCUAGUUGGUAAGGUAACGGCUUACCAAGGCAACGAUGCAUAGCCGACCUGAGAGGGUGAUCGGCCACACUGGAACUGAGACACGGUCCAGACUCCUACGGGAGGCAGCAGUAGGGAAUCUUCCGCAAUGGGCGAAAGCCUGACGGAGCAACGCCGCGUGAGUGAUGAAGGUCUUCGGAUCGUAAAACUCUGUUAUUAGGGAAGAACAUAUGUGUAAGUAACUGUGCACAUCUUGACGGUACCUAAUCAGAAAGCCACGGCUAACUACGUG
rnacentral:rRNA from 1 species